rnacentral:rRNA from 1 species
CAGUAGCCGCGGGAAUACAGAGGGUGCGAGCGUUAAUCGGAUUUACUGGGCGUAAAGCGUGCGUAGGCGGCUUUUUAAGUCGGAUGUGAAAUCCCUGAGCUUAACUUAGGAAUUGCAUUCGAUACUGGGAAGCUAGAGUAUGGGAGAGGAUGGUAGAAUUCCAGGUGUAGCGGUGAAAUGCGUAGAGAUCUGGAGGAAUACCGAUGGCGAAGGCAGCCAUCUGGCCUAAUACUGACGCUGAGGUACGAAAGCAUGGGGAGCAAACAGGAUUAGAUACCCCCGUAGUCCCUGUCUCUUAUAA